GAUGAAUGUUGGCGGAGGGAGGAACAAAGGCAAGUUGAGGGAAGCGCUUACGACAGAACCUUCGGGGGAAGAUGUAAGGGACUGAGCGGCGGACGGGUGAGUAACGCGUGGGUAACCUGCCUCAUACAGGGGGAUAACAGUUGGAAACGGCUGCUAAUACCGCAUAAGCGCACAGUAUCGCAUGAUACGGUGUGAAAAACUCCGGUGGUAUGAGAUGGACCCGCGUCUGAUUAGCUAGUUGGAGGGGUAACGGCCCACCAAGGCGACGAUCAGUAGCCGGCCUGAGAGGGUGAACGGCCACAUUGGGACUGAGACACGGCCCAGACUCCUACGGGAGGCAGCAGUGGGGAAUAUUGCACAAUGGGGGAAACCCUGAUGCAGCGACGCCGCGUGACUUCCGCCGUCUCUCGGUAUGUAAACUUCUAUCAGCAGGGAAGAAAAUGACGGUACCUGACUAAGAAGCCCCGGCUCCCUCCGUG
rnacentral:rRNA from 1 species